UCCUCAGAUGCCUUAAAUGUGUUAGAAUCAAGUUGAAGGAUGUCUAUAAUAUACAGAGAAUGGAUCUAGCAAAGCUCUAAUUAAAGAGGAUGUCAUUGUUUCUUCAUCUCUUCAGUUGUACAAUUUCUAGCGAGGUUUAGGAAAUGGAAGCCUCAUAAGUGGAGAUGCAGAAGCCUUCAGCUGCUUCUAUGUUACUGACACUUUGAGGUCUUAGCUGCAGCAUGUGGGAUCUAGCUCCGUGACCAAGGAUUGAACCCGGGUUCCCUGGCACUGGGAGCACAGUCUCAGCCACUGCACUACCAGAGAAGUUCCGUCACUAAGUCAUCUCAACCAUCUGUAUUUCUCCAAAGCAGUUUCUAAAGCCCCAGUGAAUUAUUUCAUGUGAAGUGGAGCUAAAAGCACAUCACUCCUCCCUGCUCCCUCAAGAACAUGGAUGGCAGAUUUGUCUUUAAAAGGCAUGCAGGGAAGAAGGUGAAGCAUGAAAAUCCUUUUGAGCACUGGUGGGGUUAGUUAAGCCAUGGAUCCAACCAAAGAGAGAAAUCACAGGUAAUAAUUUUUUUCUUCCACUUGGUGAUUAGUAGAGCAACUAGUCGAGUCAUCCUGAUGGAUUCUGCUCCAGGGCAAGCCUGAGGUUUCUGUGGAGGGUCAGUGGGUGCACUGGCAGCAACUGGGCUGGGUGGGAGGGUUUUAGCGAAUCCCCUGUCUUGGUACAGACAGCCCUGGGCAUCCUGCCAGAAGUGUGGCCAGAGUUCAGGGCCUGAGGUUCCCAAAGCAAAAAUGAUCCACCAUGGGAAAACCAAACUUCACCGCAAAUCUGAUCACAGAAUCACAUUUCAAACCUGAAAGCGGUGUGUGAAUUCAGCGUGCUGCAGAGAAAUGAGUUGUAUCAGCUUUAGGUCUAAAGCCCCGCAGGUGUCAAUUUCUUUAGGUGUGGUUUUGGUGGCAAUAGUAGGAAAGUGCUAUUUGUUAGAGAAGAGGCAUAGUAACAGGGUCCCAGAGGAAUUGCCCCAGAAAGCCCUGAGAAGUAUUCCGUUCCUUGAGGUUUCUUCAUUCUGAGUCAACUGGAGAAAUAAUUUCUUCUGGUGGUUUUGCUCCUUUCCUGCCUCCUGUUGAACGAUAUUUAAUUUUCCUUUCUGUUAAUAAUAUCAAUUCUAUAGUUAUAUAAGCCGUUUUUUAAAAACAAAACUUUUUCACUUUAGGUCAAAAUAUAACUUUUUUGAUGCUGGAUGUAGCUCACACAAACAUCUCAGAAAAAUAACAGUAACACUGUCAUGGAUAUCUUUAUCUGGUUUCUGACCUUAAAAGGGAAUUUGAGAUGACUAUUGCUUCUCAUAAUAUGAAAUAUUUUUAUAUUACUAAUGGUAUUAUCAGAAAAGGUAAAAUUUCUCAACUGCCUCAGAGCAACUAUGGAGAGAAUCAUAUGAGUUUUUCCUUUGUGUACUAUUGAGACAAUUUUUUUUUAAACAAAAAUCAUAGUAUUAAGCCAUCCUUGAAUUUUUAGAAUAAACCUCAGUAUUGAAAAAUGAUUUCUAUAAGUGUUGGGUUUAUGUUGCUGAUAUUUUUGUUAAAGCAAGGAAAAAAAAUUUCCUUUUGCUAUGUUGGCUUUGAGGGUUUUAUUAAUUUUGAAAAAUAAUUUGGGAAGUGUUUCAUCAUUUUGUAACCUUGGAACAAUUUAAUAAACAUGAGAAUUGUUACUUGAAAGUUCUUAAGAACUUGCUCAUAAAAUACUCUGGACCUAAUUCCUUUUUUGGAGAUAGUUAACUGAACAUUAAAAAGAGAUCCUUCAUGAAUUUCAAUCCAUUACAGCUUUCUAAUUCUUAUUGAAUCCAUUUUCCUUGAAAAUUGUACAUUUCAUGGGUUCUAAGAAUUUGUUGCCAUAGAACUUUAAAACGUAUUUUUAUAAUUAAAAAUUUGUUCACAUCUGUGCUUAUUUUGCCAAGUAUUUUGUGUUUCUUUCUUUUCAGUUAGCGUAUAAGUAGUUUGCAUAUUUUAAUCCUAUUUGUAUAGAUGAGAUACUGCAUUUAUUAAUAUAUUUAUCAGUUCCACUUUGUUUCCUGCUGCCUUACUUAAUUUUUGCUUUUAUUUUUAUUCAUUCCUUGCUUAUGUUUCUCUAAGAUUUAAUGUGUUUUCUGCUACCUAUUUGGCGUAUUAUUUAAAAAUCAUUAUGGUCAAAGAUUUCUUAAGUUAGCUUUCUUUUUCAUGAGUUAGCUUUUUUCUUUUUUGGGUUUAUCAGAAAGAUCCACAUUUUUAAAACAAACGAACAAAAAUUAUAGGAACUCGAGCUUUCCCGAUGGCUCAGUAGAUAAAGAAUCCAAGUCUCCUGCAAUGCAGGAGACACAAGAAAUGCAGGUUUGUUCCUGGGUUGGGAAGAUGCCCUGAAGAAGGAAAUGGUAAGCCACUCCAGUAUUCUUGCCUGGAAAAUCCCAUGGACAGAGGAGCCUGGUGGGUUAGAGUCCAAAGGGUCACAAAGGGUCAGAUACGACUGAUGACUCAGCACAGCAGAUGCUCAGUAAACCCAUUUUUCGUGAAGUAUUAAUAAUAGAAACAAAAUCGGAAAAGAAACACCAGUGUUGCUAGGGGUUUUGAGAUGCACUGUGUAGACACUGGGCUAAGGGUUA